UAACACUCUUAGUAUUUGGAUAUCACAUAAACAAAGAAGAAAAGGAUCAUAAUGGAAAAGAAAAAUAUUAUUGGACUGUGCUUCUUCCUCGUCGUUCUCUUAGCUACUCCUACUUUGGAAAUUGCAGAAGAAACAAAGGGGAAGACUAAUGACAACUGUUUGAGGCAGAGUAAUUUAUUCAUUGGUGUAUGUCUUGCUAACAUAUCCAACAACCAUUGUCGCAUUACUUGCAAGGUUGAAGGUGCAAUUAGUGGUGCCUGCAUAGAAAACUUGUGCUAUUGUCAAAUAUGUUGAACUUACCAUCACUAUAUAUGGAAAACAUAUAUACAUAACUAAAUGCAAACUAGCUAUAAUUUCGUUCACUUAUAGUUAGUUCAUGUUCAUGAAAUAAAUCAUGAAUUAAUAAUGAUGUUUCCUUUGUUUGAUAUGGAUUAUAAUAUGAUCACUACUAAAUAAAGAAACACUCUUUGUCCCCAAAUGCAUGAUAUAUAUAAACAUAAAUGCACAAUUAGAAACUAAAA